UACGGAGGGUGCAAGCGUUAUCCGGAUUCACUGGGUUUAAAGGGUGCGUAGGCGGACAGGUAAGUCAGUGGUGAAAUCUCUGGGCUUAACUCAGAAACUGCCGUUGAUACUAUUUGUCUUGAAUACCGUGGAGGUGAGCGGAAUAUGUCAUGUAGCGGUGAAAUGCUUAGAUAUGACAUAGAACACCAAUUGCGAAGGCAGCUCGCUACACGAAAUAUUGACUCUGAGGCACGAAAAGCGUGGGGAUCAAACAGG
rnacentral:rRNA from 1 species